AGUCUUGUAUUUGCCCCGUGCUCUCUGAAGGAGUCUGUCUGCCCCUAGCUCUGCUCUCCCCUGCUCCUCUCACCUUGCCUGCUGUCACUGCUGGGGUGAAACCUACCAUCUGUUCCAGACACUGAGCAGAGGUUUGGGAACCGGGAAGGGACAGCGUGUCCAGGGCUUGCGUGUCAGUAGACACGUUACAGCUGUAGGGCAAACCAGGGUGAAACCACAAGCCCGCAGCUCCAGGGCAGGCAGCCGGAGGCCCGCCCCUCAGCUCCUCCACUCUCUCACCCAGAGAGUUCCUGGCAGGAGUGGCAGAGGUUGGUAUCGAGUCCUUGAGCCCUGACUCAUUCCCUGGCCUAGUUGGGUGUUACCCAGCUGUCUCCCAGCCUGUCAUCCCAGACCGAGGACAUGGAGAUGUUCAUGCCCAACUGAGGCUCCUAGCCACAGACAAAGGGUUUACAGUCCUGGUUUUAUGUGCCACCCAGAAGGUUCCUGGGCUAUAAAAUGGACAAGCUCAUCUUACAUAGCUAUGCUGGGAGACUGGCUGUUUUCCAGAUUCCUUUAUAGAAACAAUCAUGUCUGGCUUUCUCCAGAAAGAAUAAAAUCAUUAUUUUAUUUUGCUUGGGUAGGGGAAGGGGCCUGGGAAGGUGGGGUAGGCAUGGGAACAUUGAGCCAGGAAAUGAGCAGGCCGUUAUCACAUCAUGAGUCAGGGGCCUAUCUGGGGACACAGCUCAGGCUUCCUAACCCCACCCCGAAUUCCAUUCUCUCUCUCAGUCUAGUGGCUUACGGACUAAGUAAUGUUCUGGGCUUUCUGGACUCUACAGAAGUUCUUCCAACUGCCAAGUUCCCGAGGGUUCAAUAGGAAGCUGAUUGUAUUGUGCUCCUGGGCUUCCUAUGUGUCCCUUGCGCUAUUUGUCCUGUGGAAAAUGUGAGCUCUGUGUCUCUUACCUCCCAGACAGGUUGUCAGAAACAUUUCGGAGUUAUCUGAGAUCCAAAGAAGAGCAGCGAGGCGGGCUGUGAUCCUGAGGUUAGAUGGCAGAGACAAAUAUUGUUCUACUCUCAAGGAUACAAGGAUGGAAGGUCUAUCUUUCUGGCUCACAAGCAGCUCACAUUUAAUCAGAAUGGGACUGAAUACACAAACAAUUGCAAAAGAAUGCUGAGAGCUACUACAGAAGUAAGCACAAGGCAGAGUGGACAGUGAGAGAGAGAGACAGAGAGAAAGGUCUUCCUUUGCUGUUGGUUCACCCCCCAAUGGCCGCUGCAGCCAGCGCGCUGAGGCCAGCGCAUCACACUGAUCCGAAGCCAGGAGCCAGGUGCUUCUCCUGGUCUCCCAUGGGGUGCAGGGCCCAAGCACUUGGGCCAUCCUCCACUGCCCUCCCUGGCCACAGCAGAGAGCUGGCCUGGAAGAGGGGCAACCGGGACAGAAUCCGGCGCCCCAACCGGGACUAGAACCUGGUGUGCUGGCGCCGCAAGACAAAUAAUUAGCCUACUGAGCUGCGGCGCCGGCCAUGAUUUUUUUUUUUUAAACCUUAAUGUGCAUCUUCACUUUAUCAGUGUUGAAUUUCUUCUUGUUGAUGUUGACACUGUUCCAAUCUGCUCAAUGAUUUGACUGCAUUGUAAACAUAUACCAAAGCAUGACACUGUACUACAGAAGAUAUACAAUUACUGUUUGUCAAUUUAAAACUUUAAAAAAUUUCAAAAGAUCAUUUGCAAUCUUGUGUCUGUCAUCUAUCCUUUCUCAACUAUAUCAUCAUCUAAGUUGUAGAUUAUUUUAUAAUUUUUAUUUAUUUAUUUUAUUUGAAAGGGAAAGAGAGAGAGAAAUAUCUCCCAUCUGCUAGUUUGCUCUCCAAAUGCCCACAACAGCUGGGUCUGGGCCAGACCCAAGCCAGGAUCCCGGAGCUCAGGAUCAUCCCAUACAGGUGACAGGAAUCCAAUUACCUGAGCCAUCAUCUGCUGCCUCCCGGCUUGCACAGUAACAGGAAGCUGGAAUCAUUUACAGAGCCAGGACUGGGACCCGGACACUAUGAUAUGGAAUGCAAGUGUCUCAAAUAGUGUCUUUUUUUAAAAAAGAAUUUAUUUUAUUUAUUUGAAAGACAGAGUUACAGGGAGAAGUAGAGCCAGAGAAAGAGAGGUCUUCCAUUCUGUUGGUUCACUCCCCAGUUGACCACAAUGGCCAGAGCUGAGCUGAUCUGAAGCCAGGAGCCAGGAGCUUCUUCCAGGUCUUCCACGUGGGUGCAGGACCCAAGAACUUGGCUCAUCUUCUACUGCUUUUCCAGGCCAUAACAGAGAGCUGAAUUGGAAGAGGAGCAACCAGGACUUGAACUGGUGCCCGUAUGGGAUGCCGGUGCUGCAGGUUGGGGCUUUAACCCACUGCGCCACAGCGCCAGCCCCCAAAUGGUGUCUUAACUUAAGAGUUAAACACUACUCUUAAGUUAUAGAUUAAAAAGAAAAAAUGUUUACUAGAACAAUAAGGCUUCUUUCUUUGUUAGUAUUGAUAUCUUUUUCUUUAUUUUUUUCGAAAGUUUCUAAAUGGCUUAUUUUUUAAGAAACUUAUUAAUACAUUAGAUUUUCAGGGUCACAGAAAAUGCAUAAUAAACACAACACAAUUUCCAUGAAAUCUGUGUUGGAAUCAAUAUCUUCAUAACCCAUUGAAAAGUCAGUUAAAUAGCUACGUAACAGGGGCAGGUGUUUGGUGCAGAGGUUAAGUUGUUAACCUCCACUUGGGGUGCCUGCGUGCCAAAUUGGGAGUGCAUGGUUUGAGUCCCAACUCCACUACUUCUGAUCCAGCUUCCUGCUAAUACUCAGUGGGAUGCUGCCGGUGACAGCUCAGCUACUACCACCCAUGCAGGAGAUUUGAAUUGAGUUCAGGUCCCUGCAGGCGUUUGGAGAGUAAACCGGAAGAUGGACAAUCUCUAUUUCUGCCUUUCAAAUUAAUUAAUUAAUUAAUUUUAAAAAUUAAAGGAAGAAAGCCAUUUAACUAUGUGUUUAAUUGUAAGGGCAGAGAAGGGGGUGAUCCUUUCGUGCCUGUCAUGAAGAGCCAUGGACCUUAUAACAAAAGACAGGUUAACAGGAGAAAACCACAACAAACUUAUCAGCUCAGAGUUUUAUGUGACAUAGGGGCUUUAGAUGAAAGACGCAAAGAUCCAAGAGUGACUUAUCCAUUUCCAGACUUAUGUUCAGUGUGGCAUGGACAGAGAUACAGACAAAAAGGACAUGAUGUAAUGGAAAUAGACUGAGGGGCGUCUGGGAACCAGCAGGGCCUGUCUGUUCAGAUUCUUGUCCUCUUCGUAGCAUUCCUUCUUCCCAGGGAUGGGCAGGGUCCAUGCUUGAAGGGGAGCUUAUGCCCUACAAUCACACAACGUAGCUUAGAGGAAUUCUUUAAGGCCAACUUACACAAGAAGGUAGGGAGAAGAGUGACACUUCUAGCUUUGUGGAUGGUUUUGGGGAAUAGGGACUCUUGUGUCUGUGACCUGCCCUGGAGGGGAGCAGUCCUAGUUUCUGUAGCUUGGCUCAGAGGAGCAUGAGCAGCUAAAGACAGGAGGGCAGAAGAAGGUCAGAGAGAAACUCAGCUUCCGAGGUCUUCUUUUUGGAGUUUUUUUUAAUAAUUUUUUUUUUGACAGGCAGAGUUAGACAGUGUGAGAGGAGACAGAGAGAAAGGUCUUCCUUCCGUUGGUUCACUCCCCAAAUGGCUUCGCCGAUCCGAAGCCAGGAGCCAAGUGCUUCCUCCUGGUCUCCCAUGCAGGUGCAGGGCCCAAGCACCUGGGCCAUUCUCCACUGCACUCCCAGGCCACAGCAGAGAGGCGGACUGGAAGAGGAGCAACCAAGACAGAAUCUUGCGCCCCAACCAGGUCAACUGGGGUGCCGGCGCCACAGGCGGAGGAUUAGCCUAGUGAGCCGCAGCGCCAGCCAUUUUGGAGUAUUUUUUACUGAGCCCCUGCAUGACCCACAAUACACAGGCUCCUUCUCUUAGCAGCAUCUUCCUGCCCCUUGACUACCUUUCUCUGGUUUGCCCCUGGCCCAUUCUGCCAACCAGACCCGGCCAGGCGCAGCAGAACUGCAGCUCUGUGGAGGUGAGCCACAGGCCUGCUGUCUUAAAAGAAGUUGUCAAGGACCUCCCAGUGUGGGUCCCUGACCCACUGUCAGGCUGACCCUCCCUCCAGCACUGCUGAGGGGGGCUUUGUGAUUCUCCGACUGACCCCUCUGACCCCUCUGCAAACAUGGUGCCUCUGUUGCACUCUGGCCUGGUGCUCAGUGGUUCCCCCUGCCUAGGACAGAACUUCCUAUUGCUUCAUAAAAGAUACAUAUUUGCUUCUGUUUUUUUGUAAAGGAAGUAUCAUCAAGGAACACUUUUUUUUUUUUUAAGAUUUAUUUAUUUAUUUGAAAGUCAUAGUUACACAGAGAGGAAAGGCAGAGAGAGAGAGAGAGAGAGAGAGAGAGUUCUUCCAACUGCUGGUUCACUCCCCAGUUGGCCACAAUGGCCUGAGCUGUGCUGAUCUAAAGCCAGGAGCCAGGAAGGAGCUUCUUCCGGGUCUCCUGUGCAGGUGCAUGGGCCCAAGGACUUCUACUGCUUUCCCAGGCCACUGGGAAAGAGAGCUGGAUUGGAAGAGGAAUCAGCGUCCAUAUGGGGUGCCAGCGCUUCAGGCCAGGGCAUUAACCCAGUGUGCCAGAGUGCUGACCCCAGAACACUUUCUUUUUAUUAAAAAAAAUUAUUUAUGUAUGUAUUUGAAAGUUAGAGUUACACAGAGAAGGCAAGGCAGAAAAAAAAAGGUCUUCCAUCUGCUGGUUCACUCCCCAGUUGGCCGCAUUGGCCAGAGCUGCACCAAUCCAAAGCCAGGAGCCAGGAACUUCUGGGUUUCCCAUGCAGGAGAAGCGGCCCAAGGACUUGGGCCAUCUUCUGCUGCUUUCCUAGGCCAUAGUAGAGAGCUGGAUCGGAAGAGGAGCUGCUGGGACUCAAACCGGCACCCAUAUGGGAUGCUGACACCUCAGGCCAGGGUUUUAACCCACUGCACCACAGUGCCAGCCUCAAAAGAUACAUAUUUGAAUAACUCUGCCUGAACCUUUUUAAUGGCUACAUAUUAUUCCAUUGUAUAGAUAUAGUACACUGAUAGACACUUAGGUGGUUUCUUUCUUUUCUUUUCUUUUUUAAAUGAUUUAUUUAUUUAUUUGAAAGGCAGAGUUACAAAGAGGCUGUGGCUGAGAGCAAGAGAGAGAGAGAGAGAUCUUUCAACUGCUGGUUUACUCCCCAAGUGGCUGCAGUGCAGGGCAGUGGCUUUACCUGCUAUGCCACAACACUGACCUCUUAAGUGGGUUCUAAAGUUUUGGUAUUACAGAGAAGGAUAUCAUGAAACUGCCAAGUGCAAUGUAGAGUAAACUCCUGGAAGUAGAAUUUUAAAGUUCAUGAUAUGUACCUUUUUAUUUUGAUAGAUUUUGUUAAAUUGCUCUCAUUUUACUUGAGUAGUGGUUUAGAUUCUUAGCAACAUAAAUGCUUUCAAAUUAAAUAUACCUGUUU